GUGCUUGCUUUGGCAGCACAUAUACUAAAAUUGGAACGAUACAGAGAAGAUUAGCAUGGUCCUUGCGCAAAGAUGACAAAAAAAACCAACCAAACAAACAAUGAUUAG